GACGAACGCUGGCGGCGUGCCUAAUACAUGCAAGUAGAACGCUGAAGGAGGAGCUUGCUCUUCUGGAUGAGUUGCGAACGGGUGAGUAACGCGUAGGUAACCUGCCUGGUAGCGGGGGAUAACUAUUGGAAACGAUAGCUAAUACCGCAUAAGAGUAGAUGUUGCAUGACAUUUACUUAAAAGGUGCAAUUGCAUCACUACCAGAUGGACCUGCGUUGUAUUAGCUAGUUGGUGGGGUAACGGCUUACCAAGGCGACGAUACAUAGCCGACCUGAGAGGGUGAUCGGCCACACUGGGACUGAGACACGGCCCAGACUCCUACGGGAGGCAGCAGUAGGGAAUCUUCGGCAAUGGACGGAAGUCUGACCGAGCAACGCCGCGUGAGUGAAGAAGGUUGUCGGAUCGUAAAGCUCUGUUGUAAGAGAAGAACGAGUGUGAGAGUGGAAAGUUCACACUGUGACGGUAUCUUACCAGAAAGAGACGGCUAACUACGUG
rnacentral:rRNA from 1 species